AGCGCUACAAGGAUUUUAUUGCAGGUGAUGGUGAUUAACUGAGUUGUUGAGUUAUGCUGUUGGAAUUGAUAUUAAGUUUAGGGAACUGAAAUGAGCAGUGUGGCUUGAGAAGAUGUGUUGAAUGUCUGAUUAUGGGAAUGAUCACAGGUGCAAGAAAAUGGAUGUGGAGUUGUAAUUGUAGUUUGAGUUAUUGUUUGUUAGAGUUUGAAGUUGAGCUGAUCUGAGUUAUGGCUUAGUACUGCAAUUGCAGGAUGAACCAGUGGAUCGUGGAUCUCGAGGUAGGCGUGGCUUGUCAUCAAAAGAGGUAGGAGACGCAUAAUACCCAUAAGUUACAUAUCCAUCUAGAGUCCCAAAUGCCGGAAAAUCAUGAAUGGCCCAUGACAACCUUGCCUUCAACAGAAAUUCAGAGUUCGUGAAGCUGUCGAAUGUCAUAACACCAACAUUCCAUAAAAUUUUCAACUCCUCUAUCAAUGGCUGUAAGUAGACAUCAAUAAAUUUACCUGGUGCUCUCGGACCUGAUAUCAACAAACAUAACAUGGAGAAUUCACGCUUCAUACACAUCGAAGGAGGAAGGUUGUAUGGACACAAUAUCGCCGGUCAACAACUGUAUUUCAGAACAAAGCAUCCAUUUGGAUUGAAGCCGUCAGUUGUUAUCCCAAGAGUAACAUUCCGUGCUUUCUUAUCAAAUUCAAAACAAAAAUUAUACGCACACCGCCAAGCUGUAGAAUCCACCGUAUGAUGCAUGACAUUAACAU